rnacentral:rRNA from 1 species
GACGAACGUUGGCGGCGUGCUUAACACAUGCAAGUCGAACGGAAAGGCCCUGCUUUUGUGGGGUGCUCGAGUGGCGAACGGGUGAGUAACACGUGAGUAACCUGCCCUUGACUUUGGGAUAACUUCAGGGAACUGGGGCUAAUACCGGAUAGGAGCUCCUGCUGCAUGGUGGGGGUUGGAAAGUUUCGGCGGUUGGGGAUGGACUCGCGGCUUAUCAGCUUGUUGGUGGGGUAGUGGCUUACCAAGGCUUUGACGGGUAGCCGGCCUGAGAGGGUGACCGGCCACAUUGGGACUGAGAUACGGCCCAGACUCCUACGGGAGGCAGCAGUGGGGAAUAUUGCACAAUGGGCGGAAGCCUGAUGCAGCAACGCCGCGUGCGGGAUGACGGCCUUCGGGUUGUAAACCGCUUUCGCCUGUGACGAAGCGUGAGUGACGGUAAUGGGUAAAGAAGCACCGGCUAACUACGUGCCAGCAGCCGCGGUGAUACGUAGGGUGCGAGCGUUGUCCGGAUUUAUUGGGCGUAAAGGGCUCGUAGGUGGUUGAUCGCGUCGGAAGUGUAAUCUUGGGGCUUAACCCUGAGCGUGCUUUCGAUACGGGUUGACUUGAGGAAGGUAGGGGAGAAUGGAAUUCCUGGUGGAGCGGUGGAAUGCGCAGAUAUCAGGAGGAACACCAGUGGCGAAGGCGGUUCUCUGGGCCUUUCCUGACGCUGAGGAGCGAAAGCGUGGGGAGCGAACAGGCUUAGAUACCCUGGUAGUCCACGCUGUAAACGGUGGGUACUAGGUGUGGGGUCCAUUCCACGGGUUCCGUGCCGUAGCUAACGCUUUAAGUACCCCGCCUGGGGAGUACGGCCGCAAGGCUAAAACUCAAAGGAAUUGACGGGGCCCCGCACAAGCGGCGGAGCAUGCGGAUUAAUUCGAUGCAACGCGUAGAACCUUACCUGGGUUUGACAUGGAUCGGGAGUGCUCAGAGAUGGGUGUGCCUCUUUCGGGGUCGGUUCACAGGUGGUGCAUGCCUGUCGUCAGCUCGUGUCGUGAGAUGUUGGGUUAAGUCCCGCAACGAGCGCAGCCCUUGUUCACUGUUGCCAGCACGUUAUGGUGGGGACUCAGUGGAGACCGCCGGGGUCAACUCGGAGGAAGGUGGGGAUGACGUCAAGUCCUCAUGCCCCUUAUGUCCAGGGCUUCACGCAUGCUACAAUGGCUGGUACAGAGAGUGGCGAGCCUGUGAGGGUGAGCGAAUCUCGGAAAGCCGGUCUCAGUUCGGAUUGGGGUCUGCAACUCGACCUCAUGAAGUCGGAGUCGCUAGUAAUCGCAGAUCAGCAACGCUGCGGUGAAUACGUUCCCGGG